ACUCGCUGCGUGUGUGUGUGUGUGUGUCUGUGUGUAGUCGAGGUUGGGGGUUUUUUUUUGGCCAACCACCAGCGUUUCUUCCUCGGGUUGUAUGAGACCAACGUCUUCACAGAAUCUCCAAACUUUCGAUGAGGAGAGGCGAGGACCCUAAAACUAAUCAAAGACCUGACUGGACCAACUGGAAUCCGGAUUAUCUUUUCAUUACCCGUUAAUGUAGUAUUUGCCUGCAGGCUGUUUUGAAGACCUCCAGAUCUCCCCUCCUGCCGAGUCUCCACCCUCCGUGUCUCCUCCACCCUCCUCCGCUGCCUCCCCUCCACCACAGACAUGAUCAUCCGGCUGGGAAGACUGACGCCCGGCUACUUCAGACUGCUCCAGAGGCAAGUGGCCGGAGAGGUCCAGACCAAGCCUCACGACCGGGCCGUGAACCAGAUUGCCAUGAUGCUGGCCAUCUUGGGCCUGGGCCUGUCCUACUACAGUGCCAAGCAGAUGACCGAGACGGCCCAGGACCAGCCGCCGCCCUGAUCAGAGCCCCGACGCCAGCCUGAAAUACUCUGAAGCCAUCCGCACGACUACAAGAUGAAGACGAUUUGACCGGGUGGGCUGGGACAGAGAAAGUGGUUGAGAACGUAGGCCUGGGCCCGCCAGCACCCUUUCCCCACAUCCAUCACCCUCUCCUGCCCUCACCAACGAUAGUGUUGAGAAGGCUCUAGUCCUGCUGUAAGGACCUGUUGUGUUUUAGUUAGUCCUGCUGGAUGUUGUUCAUCAUGGCCUUUUUUUGGAGAAGCAGAAUUGGCGGUCUAUAUUUGACCGGGGGGGGGGGUUGCUGAGGUUCUGAUAAUGCUGUUCUAAACUGUGAACCUUUCUGGUGGUAUAGCGAGGAGGAAGGCGGUGGAAUGAUGUGAGGGGGUGGAGUCUUCUGAAGGGAUGCAUGCCGCCUGUAAUCAUUUCCUCAAAAGUGGAGCUCUGGGCAGACCGAUGGCUCUCUUCAGUGUUUUCUAUAUAUUCUUUUUUUUUUUUUUUUUUUUUUUU